CACCGCCCGUCACACCAUGGGAGUGGGUUUCACCAGAAGCAGCUAGCCUAACCUGCAAAGGGGGGCGGCUACCACGGUGAGAUUCAUGACUGGGUG
rnacentral:rRNA from 1 species